rnacentral:tRNA from 1 species
UGCCGAGUUGUGUAGCGGUAGCACGGAGGACUUUGAAUCCUUUAGCCCUGGUUCGAAUCCAGGCUCGGCAGCCA